rnacentral:lncRNA from 1 species
GAAUUGGUGUGUUGUUCUUCAAAAGGUCUGAUCACUUAUCUGAACAUAUCAUGUGUAAAGAGAAAAAAAAAAGUCAAUCUCUUUUUGAAAAGGAAACUAAAUUAUCUCUUUAAAUAAGGAGGAAAUUUGGAACAGAGAUACUUAGGAAACAUUUUUCUCUAUUCCCGUUGUCUGACUUCAUAAACGUAGGUUCCUCUUACAUGCCUUUUAAGUAUGGUGUUUGACAUUAACUUGUGAAAAGUCUGUGAUGUUUGUAUAUAUAUAGCAUUUGAAGAUAAACUUUUGUGUUAAAAUCUUUUUAUAACUCCAACUUUUGUAGGGUCAUAUUGAAGCAAUUAUGUGAGAUUUUAAUGAAGUGAAUAUUCCUGGACAAUAAGGAAGUAUCUGAAGAGCUGGGUGUGGUGGCGCACACCUUUGAUCCCAGCACUCGGGAGGCAGAGGCAGGCGAAUUUCUGAGUUCAAGGCCAGCCUGGUCUACAGAGUGAGUUCCAGGACAGCCAGGACUACACAGAGAAACCCUGUCUCUAAAAAACCAAACCAAACCAAACCAAACCAGAAAGAAAAAAACAAAUAUAUAUCUGAAGUUUUAUCUGAAAUUGUUUGUUCCAAAAAAAAAAAAUUAUACUUUCUCACUGCAUCUUGCUAUUACAUUCUGGAUGCCUGCCCAGAAACACUUUAGCCAGAAGAUUCUCAGUAAUUAAUAGAAAUUUAAUUCAACAGAUACUCAUUAAGCACACACCCUAUACUGAGUAGUAUUAAAUACUAGGAGUGAAGUUGUAAACAAGUAAAAGAGGUUGGGGUGUAGAUGAAUUGAAGAACCUAUGUUUGUCAUUGAAGCUCUAGAUUUAGUACUGAUUACCACAAACACAGACAAACCAGCAGGAAACAAGAACGAAGUACCUAGGGAGCUGACCUUCAAGAAGGGAUGGCUGGUACAAGCGAACAAAUAAGUAAACAUGGUGUGUGUGGUGAUCAUAAAUGCCAUGUAAAGAGUAUAAAAGUCUUUGAGCAAAAGAUUACUUUUCAAUGGCAAAAAUAACUACUAAUCCCGACUAAUUUAUUACCAGAAAUUACUAUUCCUGAUCCAUUUGUCUAAGCUCUAAACACAACUCUAAUAGUUUCCUUGAACAGUUAAAUUGCAAAAGUUAAAAUGUUUUCAGUGAAACCAAACAUUGUUCUUGCAGUCACAGUUGGCUGUUUCUUACUCACAGUUUGUCUCAGUUCAGGACAGGGGUUGCAUUUUUAUCUAGUCAGUGAAACCAAAAGCAUGUUCUUGGAAAGUAUUAGUAAAAUUGAUGAAUAUCUACCCAGACUGAGUAUACCAGGGGGAAAUUUUUGUGAUUUUUGUAAUUGCCUC